rnacentral:tRNA from 1 species
AUCAGGAUAGCUUAUAAAAAGUAUUACAUUGAAGAUGUAAUGAAAAUGUUAAUCAUUUUUUGAUA